GCAUUAUGAUCGCUGAGGAAAAGGACAAAAUAAGGGGAUUGUGUUUUAGAUUUUGGGAUUCUACAGACAUACUGGGAUUAAAUAUUGAAGUUUGGAAAUAUUUUCCAUAGCAUGUUCUCUUUAAAAAUUCUGUCAAAGAUGCAGUGCAGUGUAUGAUUGACAAAAGAGUGGCAAAAAAACUGAAAUUGUCCUCUAAGUGUUUUAUCAGUGCAUCCAAGAUCUCUAUUUUCCAUGUGAAUAGGACAGUGAAGUGGCUAGAUGGAACAUGCAAUGGAAAGAACCUGUGAGUGGGACUCUAAGAGGCCAAAUGGAACCCUCUUCAGCCAAUUAGAGUCCUGGAGGGUGCAGUACAGUUAAUCCCCAUGGUAACACGGAUGAAGGGCACAGUACUACAUCCUCCUGCUCCUUUUCCGUCCCCAGCUUUUCAUGUGAAAAUGUAUUCCAUUGUCUCGAGCUCCUGCUGCAGAAAUAGGCUUGUGGGGGGUAAAAAAAAAAAAAAAAACAUCUUCAUUGACAGGAAGAGAUGUUUUCCAGGAAAGAAAUACAAGUGGGCAAAAAAACAACUUAAAAAAAAAAACAGAAAUACCAUUUCAGAUGAGAUGAUGGAGAGACUCGCUAGUACACGGACUUUGUUUACCUGUUUACUAAUUUAACAUGUUUUCAAGAAGUUGUAAAAUGUACUUUGUCUGUUGUGGAGGAAAGAAAUGAUUCAGAGAUACAUUAGCACAUGAAUUAAAAUGAGACAGUUCCAUUAGCAUGAUUGUCUCAACAUCCUGCCAUACAAGACCUGCAAGAUAGAUGGGCUUUGGAACCCAAAAAAAAAACAAAAAAACAAGAAUGAGUCAUGGGUUAUUCAUACCUGUUUCGGGCACAGUAAAGAGGUUAAACUCACAGUGGUGCCAAGCUACAAAAGGAUCUAUGUGGACCAUCAACCCUCAUUUGACCACAAGUUAGAGCUUGGCAUUGAGUGAUAGAAAGUGUACAUAGUAGCGGGGUGGGAGUGGGGAUUAUCUCAGGCAACAUUUAUGAACGCUGAAAAGUGCAUAUAAAGCAGUUCUCAUCAUUAUUUAUGAUUAAUUGUAAUUUGGAGUGAUAAUGGCCGUGGCAAAAAUUGUCUUUUUGACAUCACAAG
ensembl:lncRNA